GUUUUUUGGCUACUGGCGGCUGGUCAGCCGUCCGUUUUUUUCCACUUUCGUUCCUGAUUCUGGAGAGGAUGGCAGGUGGGGCUCAAUAGACGUGGGGCCACGGAGUCAACCUAAGUUUCCUUCAUCUUUUGGUACGCGGAGUCUUCAUCGCGUGCUCGCCAAUCGCGAUCUGGGUAAAAGCAACCCUAUCCCACGAGCCAAUCCUGCAGCCGCCUCCCCGCUUCCUCCGCACCUCGCCCCACGAGCCCCUCUCCCCUCUGCCGCCUCCUCUCCUUCACUUUUCUCUCGGCGUCGCCACCAAAGGAGGCGCACAUGGGCGGUGGAUCCGUGCCAGAGAAGAGCGGCGGGGACUGCGCUCCGGUAGCAAUGGGGUGCAGCCGGCCGCGGGGAAGAUCGCGCCGCCGCCCUUUCCUUCCUCCAUCCCCGCCCCUGCCACGAACCCCUCCUCUUCCCCUUCCAUACCGGCCUCUGCCGCUCUCCUCGUUGGGCAUCACUCCAUGUUGCGGAGGACGGUUUGCAGCCUGUGCAGUUGAGGUGAGGAACGGAGGUGGGGGGAAGGAGCAACAAUGGGGAAGAUGUUGUGUGCGUUGUGGGAAGCAGCUUGUUGAAAGCCCUGGCUGGCCAGGGGAUAAGAGCAGGAGGUGCUAAUCUUGCUGCAAGUUGUUGGCUGGGUCUCUUUCUCCCUAGGGAAGGCAUAGUAGACCUCGGGGAAACCAAGGAUCUUGCGGUGGCUAUAGCGAUGCCCCUAUCAUCUCAUCCCUCUUUCUAUGUGCUUCUCUCCAUGGACAGCAUCGCCAUGGCCAGAUCGAUGGUUAAAGCCAUAGCAUUUUCCCUUGAUUAAAUUCAGAAGAUGGCGCUCGUUGCCAGCGGGAUCUCGAGGAACAUGUGACCUCCAUGGUGUUCACUGCUAGACGGUGUGGCAAGGAGGGGUACCUUCUGCGGCGAUCUUUCUUGGGGAACCCUGGGCAACCGUCAUCCAGGUCUCCUACUAAAGCUCCUCCUCGCCACCACGAGUGCACGCCAUGUCUUCCACCCUGACAUUGGCCACUUAUGGAGGCUGAUUGAUUUGGUUGGUUCGAUAGGAUCCCAACCUGAGGAGAAUGAUGGUUUGGAGAUGGCUAGCGGCCUGUGGGGCAUCGACCAGACUGGCAGCGCUUCCAGGCAGGAGAGGCUUGGGGGCCUCGUGGGUUGGGAAGAUGGCGGCCACCCGGGUUUCUUCGAUCGAUCUGCGAUCUGGACAGGGCCACGGCAACGCGGGCGUCGGGCGUAGGCGACCGACCCUCUGCAGCCACGCGUUGAUAGUUACCUGUCGAGACUAUAAGAAGAAUUUUGAGGAAGAAUUUGAUCAAGAAGACCAAGAGAGAUGGUUUGCUUUGGAGAGGAAUUAGAUAAGGCCCAUGAGUCCUAAGUAAGUGUGAUAAGCAAGCCCUGCACUUCUAUUUACUAUUAAGCGUCAACUAAAUUUUUGAUAAUGGCAUUUCAGAGAUAAUACAAUCAAUCCAACUGUUAAUUUUGGUGUGCUUUUUGGACGGACUAAUAUGAAGACGCUGGCUAGCUCGCAUUGCCAUCAUAUAGUCUAGAAGCAAGGGCAAGGAUUAUAGGGAAAAUGAAGGUACAAUGCUCCCAAUAUAUUUUACCUUCUCGGCGAAGUUUUGGUGCUUGCGCAAGAAAAUAACACCAUCAUUAUACCUACUGCUCAUUUUUUAUUCAGGCAAUUAGCCAUCAAUAGGAAAAGCCAACUAAUUGUACUUUCUCUAUUGCAGAGAUCAAAGAUAUCUCAGAAGCUAUCUCCCCGGAAGCUCCUGUAAACUGAAUAUCCACUGCUGCUGCUACUGAGCUGCGCUACUGAUGUGAUUGAUUGUGAAUUUGUCUUCAGGGUUGUAUCAGCAUGGUAAGAGAUCUCGCUGCCAGCACUGCCUAAAGGGCUAGCUUCAGGAUUGACCUAUUUAUAUUUACGAGUGUGUGAUCACAUUGCGAUGGCAGAGAUGACUGGCGGAAUAAUACAGUUGAUGUUCCAUUUCUGACAGCCCACUCUGCUGUAGACAGAAUAGUUAGUAACACUCUAAUACACUUUUUUUGUUUGUAUUCAGUUGAUAGGUGUAAUCAACAAUUUUCAGAAAACAAAAUCAAAUGCAGACUUGAGUAUUACCUGAGGGCGCACUGGAAAGGCUUCCAGAGCUAGGAGAAGAAACGGUUGAAGAAGAUAUGGUCUUGGGUGUUUCAUAGGCAUCAGGUGUAAGAGUGCACGAAUGACAGUUUGCCCUUUGAAACGACGUACGCCGUACAGAAGCUUGGAAUGCAUUCAGAGAUUUUUGUUGAAGUCUUGCUUCCUUUGAGCUUCCUGCAAACAAUCAACAAUGGUAGCCACACGAUUAAGAUUGCACUAGGCAAUUCUUAUCCUAUACUGUACUGGGUUUUAUUCUUUAUAAAAAUUGUUCAGCCUAAAUUUUCUGCAAA